rnacentral:rRNA from 1 species
GUGGGGAAUCUUCCGCAAUGGGCGAAAGCCUGACGGAGCAACGCCGCGUGAGUGAAGACGGCCUUCGGGUUGUAAAGCUCUGUUAUAUGGGACGAAUGGGCGUAUGGUCAAUACCCAUACGCCGUGACGGUACCGUAAGAGAAAGCCACGGCUAACUACGUGCCAGCAGCCGCGGUAAUACGUAGGUGGCAAGCGUUGUCCGGAAUCAUUGGGCGUAAAGGGCGCGCAGGCGGUUCGGUAAGUCGGUCUUAAAAGUGCGGGGCUUAACCCCGUGAUGGGAUUGAAACUGCCGGACUGGAGUGUCGGAGAGGAAAGCAGAAUUCCUAGUGUAGCGGUGAAAUGCGUAGAUAUUAGGAGGAAUACCAGUGGCGAAAGCGGCUUUCUGGACGACAACUGACGCUGAGGCGCGAAAGCCAGGGGAGCAAACGGGAUUAGAAACCCUUGUAGUCC